rnacentral:lncRNA from 1 species
CGGCAACCAAAAACAUCUCAAGACAUGGCCAAAGGUCCCCCUGGGGCAAGGGGGACAAAAUCACCAUAUGAGAAGCACUGUUCUACAAGAAUUUUUGAAAAAGCCAGCAGACAUCCAUGGAGACCAGCGUUGACAAUGCAGGGAGAAGUUUUACACCCCUGCGGUACCUUCUUGGGAGACAGUUGUGCACUGCAGCAGCCCUUAUAUCAUGGCAGAGAUGCUGCAUAUCUGCUCCUCUGUCAGCAUCCCAAAGGACCAGGAGGAAUACUCGGGCACCUAUAAUCCUAGGACUUAGGAGGCCAA